rnacentral:rRNA from 1 species
GCUUGACAUACACCGGAAACGGCCAGAGAUGGUCGCCCCCUUGUGGUCGGUGUACAGGUGGUGCAUGGCUGUCGUCAGCUCGUGUCGUGAGAUGUUGGGUUAAGUCCCGCAACGAGCGCAACCCUUGUCCUGUGUUGCCAGCAUGCCCUUCGGGGUGAUGGGGACUCACAGGAGACUGCCGGGGUCAACUCGGAGGAAGGUGGGGACGACGUCAAGUCAUCAUGCCCCUUAUGUCUUGGGCUGCACACGUGCUACAAUGGCCGGUACAAUGAGCUGCGAUGCCGUGAGGUGGAGCGAAUCUCAAAAAGCCGGUCUCAGUUCGGAUUGGGGUCUGCAACUCGACCCCAUGAAGUUGGAGUUGCUAGUAAUCGCAGAUCAGCAUUGCUGCGGUGAAUACGUUCCCGGGCCUUGUACACACCGCCCGUCACGU